AACUAGGCAAACCUCUGAGCCCAGCAAGCAGGUGCACUGGGGACCCUUGCAUUGGGAGGGCUAGAAAAACCCUCAGUUAUGACCUGGGGGCGGCACUUUGCAGACCAGCAAUCCAAGUCCUGGGCACUGUCAAAUGGUUCAACGUCCGGAAUGGUUACGGAUUCAUCAACAGGAAUGACACCAAGGAAGAUGUCUUUGUUCACCAGGUAAGAGCUAGGUUAGCUUUCUGAGGGGAAGAACCGGCCGUCUUUGAAGGCCUUUGCUGUAAUCCUUAGCAGUGCGCUCCGCCAUGUUUCUCUGGCUCUUCUUCACAACGGCCCAUCUGCCAGGGAAUAGCUCCCCCCAUCCGCCUUGGGUGCCUGUGUCAACCACCAUUAGCCGCACUUGUGUUGGGUUACUAAACGUCCGUCAGAAUUGAGCAUGUUGCCCCUGGGCAUGGCACGCUUACUACCUACUGGGACCUGUUAACACUCCAGGAAGCACUGAGGCAAUUUUCAGAGGGAGAAGGUCCUUGGGUGCAGUGGUUCUCAAAGCGUGGCCCCUGCACCAGCGGCAGCAGCAUCACCUGACAUCCGAAUUCUCAGGUCCCACCCCAGACCUGGUGAAUCAAUCAGAGCUGGGGCUGGGGCUCCACAAUCGGUUUAACGAGCUCUCCAGGUGAUUCUGAUGCACGCUACAGCUUGAGAACCACUGCUUGGUGGAAAGAGCUCUCACUGGGACUGAGGUAAGAAGCACAGUGCAUUUUACCCACUUUGCGACUGAAGGCUGUCCCUGCCUUUUGCUUUGGAGUUCAUAUUUCUUGCCUCCCUUUUUGAAAUCCCUGAGGGGUAAAGCGGGGCGGGAGGGGAGGUGUGGGGAGUGCAUCCUGGGGAUGGUGGUAACUGCACAAUCUUUGCUGAGGCCCUGAGUUCAGGACUUUUCCCCUGCUAAACUUUGACCACCUCCUUGCUCCACCCUCCAGCUCUAGACCCCAAGUCAAAUGUUGAAAGAAUGAAAUUGGGUGGUGGCCCCGCAGGGGUGACAGAGACUCCUGUCUUGCUGUCUCACUUUUCACAUGGCCUUUUCCCCAAUCAGACAGCUAUUAAAAGAAACAACCCCAGGAAGUUUCUGCGCAGCGUUGGAGAUGGGGAGACUGUGGAAUUUGAUGUCGUGGAAGGAGAGAAGGGUGCAGAAGCCACUAAUGUAACUGGGCCCGGGGGAGUACCCGUGAAGGGCAGCCGUUAUGCCCCCAACCGACGUAAGUCCCGCCGAUUCAUCCCCCGGCCUCCCUCAGUUGCCCCACCACCCAUGGUGGCAGAGAUCCCCUCGGCGGGGACAGGACCUGGCAGUAAAGGGGAGCGGGCUGAAGACUCUGGGCAACGGCCCAGACGAUGGUGCCCCCCACCCUUCUUCUACCGACGGCGGUUUGUGCGAGGCCCCCGGCCUCCCAACCAGCAGCAGCCUAUAGAGGGCACUGACAGGGUAGAACCCAAAGAGACAGCCCCAUUGGAGGGGCACCAACAGCAGGGAGAUGAGCGGGUCCCCCCGCCCAGAUUCCGGCCCAGGUACCGAAGGCCUUUCCGCCCCAGGCCACGCCAGCAGCCUACCACAGAAGGUGGGGAUGGUGAGACCAAGCCCAGCCAAGGUCCCGCUGAUGGUUCCCGGCCUGAGCCCCAGCGCCCACGAAACCGCCCCUACUUCCAGCGGAGACGGCAGCAGGCCCCUGGCCCCCAGCAGGCCCCUGGCCCCCGGCAGCCCGCAGCCCCUGAGACCUCAGCCCCUGUCAACAGUGGGGACCCCACCACCACCAUCCUGGAGUGAUUCCAACUCAAAGGACACCCAGAGCUGCCAUCUGGUAUCUGCCAGUUUUUCCAAAUGACCUGUACCCUACCCAGUACCCUGCUCCCCCUUUCCCAUAAUUCAUGACAUCAAAACACCAGCUUUUCACCUUUUCCUUGAGACUCAGGAGGACCAAAGCAGCAGCCUUUUGCUUUUUCUUUUUUCUUCCCUCCCCUUAUCAAGGGUUGAAGGAAGGGAGCCAUCCUUACUGUUCAGAGACAGCAACUCCCUCCCGUAACUCAGGCUGAGAAGGAACCAGCCAGCUCUUACCUCCUCCUGGUUGCUUUUCUUCCCCCCACCCCAAGUUUAUUUUUGUUUUCCCCCGGCCCCCUACCUCUGAAGCCAUUUUAUGAUCUGUCAUGUGCCACCUGAGCCUCCAGUAAAAACAAAAACAGGC
rnacentral:sRNA from 1 species